CUCCUGAGCCUUCGGGGCAUUUAAUCACUGCUUAUUAUUAGUAUAAUUACAUAGGUGAUUAUUGAAAAUUCUCCACCCUGAUUGGUUGCCGUUGAGGUGAUAAUAACGCGAUGAUCACCUAAGCGAUUUUCGAAAUGACUGCCGAAGUCGUCUUGUAAAUUAAAUGACGAAGAAAUGUGUCUUUUUUCCACAUAAUCAGCUAUUACACUAAAACAUAUUAACUAAAUUAACUAUUAUAAAC